rnacentral:rRNA from 1 species
AUGGAUCGCGCGCGCCACAAGAGCUCGCCCAGCUCCGAGCGCUUCCUCGGCGCAUUCCUCCCCCGCGCGGCCGCCGGCGACCAGCCCGCCUCGGCGGCCUUCGAGCUCGACGAGGACGACCUCUUCGGCUCGGGGGUCGGAUCUCCCGAGCGGCCGCAGCCGCCGCCGCCGCGCCGGCCCCUGCUCAUGUCCUCCGUCCGCGCCGCAAACCCUAGCCCCCGCCUCCGCCGCCCGCCGGGGGGCAUCCUCGAGGCCCUCCCCGAGCGCCUCGGGCCUCUCUCGCCGCCCCCGUCUGCUUCGUCCGCCUCGACGUCCCCCGCGUCUCCGGCGAUGGCCCUUCCGCGCAUGAUCCCCGCCAUCCCCCGCCCGGCGCCGACGCCGGCGAUGCAAAUGCCGCAGUCCGCGCCGGUGAAUGUCCCGGUAGCGCGGCUGCGGCGACCGCCGUUCGAGACGUUCGUGAGUGAACCGGAUGAGGAGGAGGACGACGACGAGAUGCUGCCGCCGCACGAGAUGGUGGCGCGCUCGCGGGCGCGGGAGUCGCCCAUGACGACCUUCUCGGUGCUGGAGGGCGCUGGACGCACCCUCAAGGGGAGGGACCUCCGCCAGGUACGCAAUGCCGUGUGGCGGAAGACCGGCCUGCUCGAUUGA